GGUCACCAAAGCUGGAGGGCACGUCAAUGGGCAGGCAGAUGGACACAAAGAUGGGGUUUGGGAUCCAUCCUGCUGGCGACACCUGGAAGUGCCCUCGAACAUGUACGAUCUGCAAAAGUAAUGCAUCACUCCAGAGUCGCCCUGACUCAACAAGUCAACCUGAAGAGAAAGAGAGUAAGAAAAUUGGUUCAUCUAACUUCUUACAUGUGGUGAAAGGCGAAGCUUGAUGUUUUAGCCAAAAGAUGCAGACACGGGAAGUCGCGCUGGUCAUGGCGUCAUCAGCGGAUCAGUGGAGAGGAUUGUGUGUCUGUUCGCGGGCUGACCUGCCGGGUACUCGCUGCGCACCGGGCCCGUGACUCGGUCCUCAGGAGUUGAAGACCUACGAGUACCCAUGGAAAUGUGCCAACGGAAGUGCGCGCCCCUGACCGCACUAGAAGCAUCACCACCUGUGUAUCAUCGGCGCCGGCUUCUGGGCUCUACCAGCUAUAGAUCUAUCUACAGUAUACCAUACAAAUUAAAAUGCAGAAUCCCAGGUUAUGGGACAGUGGAAGAAAACAGAUGUUGCUCUUAUGAUCUGUGGGGCAAACGUGGGUUUUCAUCAGUGAGUAACGUAAAAAUAUUUGAUUUUCAUUGUACUUUGUAGACAUGCAUGGUAAUCUACUAAUAGGGCUGUUCCUGUCUGCAUUACAGCUCAGGCGAGCGUAUUUUAGGCUUGUAUUUACGCCAGGGACUAGAUUACAGGCAUUCAGUUUAGAAUCUUGGGUCUAAAUUUAACCAGGAAACGCAAAAAUAGACCUCUCCGCUUGGCCGAUUUGGUGGGAGGCAUUGUUCAUAUGCUCCACUGGCGAAGCCUGGCCUGCAGGGGCGGCACAUUGACGUCAUCAGACUCACCUGCCGCGCGGGAGGAUCACGUGACCGGGGGUUGCCUGCGGUCAGCAGCCUGGCCUCGCGCUGCUGUAUUGGCGCGGGAAACGUUGUUACCCGGCAUUGGGUGGGAGGACUGUAUAGCGUGGCUUUUGACCUGUUAUAAUUACCUUCGCUAGCUAUAAGGUUAUGUUUUCGGUAGCGUUUGUUUCUACGCGUUUGUGUAUGUGGUGUGUAGAUGGACAGCAUAACUCUCCGUUGUCUGGAUGAAUUGUAUUGAUAUUUGGUUGUCAGCUUGUAUAGAUGUAUAGUUUAUCACAGUGAAUGUUCACUGACGUUAUUGUGCCAGAUUAGAUACUGACAUAUCCGCUAUAACAGUAUGUCAGAUUGGUACUAGAGCAAUCGUGUUUCGUAAGAUUGUGUAUUUGAUGUGGUACAAGGUAACCAAUCAACAGGGUGUAUCUUUAUGAUAUAACGUUACCUUAUAUGGCUGUCCUAAUAAAGAAAGCACCCUCUGAUCGUGUUUUCAACAUGACAACUGACACUCCGUCUAACAAACAACUUAUGCGUUCAUUGACCCUUAAUUAGCUAUUUAUAGAGUCACACAAAUGUGAGGCCCAUAUCGAUAUAGCCACAAGUUCCACAUGAUAUACUCUGCAGUAUUGCACAAACAGAAUGGUCGGGGAGACUUCCAUCUCCGUAUAGAGAGUGGAAUUUAUUAUCAGCAAGCACAGUAGGUGGAUCAUCGCUGGAUAGUUUUAAAGACCACCUGCAGCUACUACUACUACUUGUAUGUCCAAAAUUUAGGUGUGGCAGGUCAUUUUUUGCUGUUGCUGCCAUGGCUUCUUGUUGGCGUGUCACGCUGAAGGCCAGUUAUACUCUGGGUUAUACCGGUAAUAUAGAUAACGUUACAGAUACAGGUCCCUCGCCCCUCUCGCCAGACACAUUCUGGAAGAUUUCAGACGUACCACUCCGUCCCCAUCCCACAAUGAUUUUAGCUUUAUCUGGUCUGACUAGACGUUCUGAUAAAAAAAUCUGUAUUUCUGAGAAUUCUCCUUCAGGAUAGAUAUUGCCCUGCUCGUUUGCUGGGAUUAUCACCCCCGUAGCUUUAGGUGAGGCCCUGGAUUUCGACCUGGACAGAAAAACCGGCAGGUCAGGGUCGAGGUAAGGGGUGCUGGAUUUGUUAAAUCAUUUAGAACAAACUUGUGAAAAGGAUAGAAACCGCAUGUGUAGUCGGGAGAUUUGCGAAAUACGUCAUCGGUACUUGGGUUUGACGCAUCUUGUGCUCAAAAUAGAGGCGGUGGCUCCUCUGAAAACCUACCUGACUGGUGGUAUGGACUGCACACCUGUAUGGUGACGUCUGUGCUGGCAUUCCGCCAUUGUCAAACAAGUCUUUGCCUCGGGGCGACACUAAUUUCGGCACCUUAAAGUUUCAUUUCAAGUGCCAACUAACGUCAUUAGGACCGUUUAUAAAACAUGUACACUAUUAAUAGAUGCUCAUAAUACUGCAUAGCUAAGAAUACGUACAUCAAGUUAUUGUCUAGAUUUGUACGUUAAACAUGACGUCUGAUGCGACACUUUGUUCGUCAGUGUAUGGCGUUAUACGAUCAUGCCUGCAGCGGACUCCCAUGUUUUGCAUGUACUCACCGGUCUUUUGCCCGUGUUUAACAUGUACCCGUCAGGCUAAUGAUAAAACACUUUUCUUAUGAA